UACGUAGGGUGCGAGCGUUGUCCGGAAUUACUGGGCGUAAAGCGCUCGUAGGCGGUUUGUCGCGUUGUCCGUGAAAACUCACAACUCAAUUGUGGGCGUGCGGGCGAUACGGGCAGACUGGAGUACUGCAGGGGAGACUGGAAUUCCUGGUGUAGCGGUGGAAUGCGCAGAUAUCAGGAGGAACACCGGUGGCGAAGGCGGGUCUCUGGGCAGUAACUGACGCUGAGGAGCGAAAGCGUGGGGAGCGAACAGG
rnacentral:rRNA from 1 species